UGGCCGCUCAUGUGGGGCAUCGUACUCACCAAGUACCUGCAGGUCAGGGCGCGGCGAGGGCGGGGUUUAACUUUGAACCAAUCCCGUAAGGAAACAGUUGCUCUGUAGAAGAAACUGCAGCCGCAUAUGCGAGCUGUGGCGAGGGCGGGGGAGGGGGUGGGAGUAAGGUUGAUGGGGUUUCGAAGGCAGUGCGCAGGGCCAGGCUGGGCUGCCCUGCAAGGCUGCAAGAUGGGAAAGGGGCGCUUCUUACCCAGAGCUUGUACGCACACAAGUGCCUUCGCGGUCGCGCUACAUUAGAUCACGCUGGUUUGGGCAUUUGGGUCACGCCUGCACAACAGGUUCAGAACGUGAUGGCGGCUCCCUCGGUUAUCGCGGUCCUGACCUUCCUCAUGAACAUCGCCUUCAACGCCAUCCUAGUCCGGUGGGUGCCCCCGCGUGUACGUCAAGAAGAGCCUAACACAAGUUACUGAAAUGAAGUUUAUAGAUAGGAUGCGCACUCACGAUGCGCAGUGGGGAGUGCUCCAAACGCGCCGCAUGCUCUGCCAUACGCCAUCACCAAGUGGAAAGUGGUGGAGUGGAAAUUCACCUUCCUGCUUUCUACGUCGCCUGGCGCCCACUGUUGCUGCAUGAUGCAUGACGCCGCGCCUGACGCCGCGCGCCUGUUGCCGCCGCUACCGCAGCGAGCUGGGCUUCCGGGGUGCGCCGCUGGCGACCACCUUGUCGCGUUGGGCGCAGGUGCGGACGUGUGUGUGUGGGAGUAUGCGAGAGGGGGGGAAUAUGUGUGGAAGUAUGUGUGGGAGGUUUGACUCGGGUGGAAGGUGUGGGAAUAGAUAGGGAAAGGCAAGGGUGGAGAGGUCUGGGACGUGCGGGGGCAUCGCGAGCCACGGCAAGAAGAGUGACAGACAAGGAGUGGACGGGCCCGACACGUACCACACAUUCCACACGUGUUGUGUGUGUCGGGUACUGUAUUAUGUGUUUGCAAUUUUGUCUGUGCUAAAAACAAACAGCAAAUUGAAGCCUGCCCAGAUGUCCAGAGUUACUUUUGUGUGUGUGUGUGCGCGCGCGCAUUGCAGUUUGUGAUGCUGGUGGGGGUGGUGGCGCACCACGAGUGGCACCGCACUCGCCAGCCGCCGCCGCCGCCCGAGGCCGAGGAGCAGCUACUGCUGCAGCCUCAGGAGCAGCAGCAGCACCCUCAGGAGCAGCUACUGCUGCAGACUCAGGAGGGGGAGCAGCGGUCGGUCCGGCAGGCGGCGGUUGAGGGCGAUGGGGAAGGCGAGGCGAUGGCGCUGCUCGCUCCGCCCGGCGACGAGACCGCAGCAUCAGCAGCAGCAACAUUCGCAGCAGAUCCCGGCACGCCGGGCGCAUUAGCAGCCAACGGCGACAGUCCACAACCCAACGGCACCCAUACCGGCGGCGUGCACGGCGGCGACAGCGGCGGUGGCGGCGGUGGCGGCGGCGGUGGCGGCGGGAACGGCAGCAGCGGCGGUAGCGUCGCGGUGCUUGUGGUGGGCGCCGCGGAGGAGGAGGGCGCCGCCGGGUGCGGUGAUGGGGCGCGCAGAGGCAUGCGUGGAGGGCAGGAGCACGAGCAGGAGGAGGAGCAGGAGGAGGAGGCGGCGGGCGCUGCUGCCAAGGCGGCGGUGCCCCUACAUGCCGGCCGGAAUCCGGAUCUAGACUGGGCCUUGAAGCACGACAACCCGCAGCCGCCGCCAUUCGGGACAAAUGGAGCGGCUUCAAUGAAAGGCAGCAGGGCGGCUGGGGCGACGGAGAAGUCUGCGCUGCUAGCAGGCGUGGCGUCGAGCUCCGCUGCGCCAGGUGCUGCUAACGGCUUCAGUGGCGGCGGCUUCAGUGGCGGCGGCGGCGGCGGCGGCAUGUCGGCGGUGGCCUCGGCCUGGGCGGUGGACGCGCUGGCGGAGUGCCGGGCGGCGGUGGCGCCGGGGGUGAUCCUCAGGUUCUGCAAACUGGGCAUUCCCGGCGGCCUCAGCAUGGCGUUCGAGGUGUGUGCUUGAGGGGGUAUGGGGGGUGGGGGCGCUGGGGGAUUGUGAUAACAGCCCAAACUGAACCGAAACCCAUGCAAAAGAGCGAGGAGGAGAGCGUGGCCUAUGCGUUGGCAACGGAGUGGCACUCGACAGUAUUCCCCUUCCCCAACAUGCACCGAGGGGGUGUGGGCAUCUGUUGUUGGUGCUGGUAUUGGGGGCCCCGGUAUUGAUGUUGUAGUAGUAUGCUUGUCACCACGGCUUGUGGCUGAGAAGUACGACACAAGCACAGGUUGCACACACAAACACACACACACACACACAUACACACACACACACUUCGUUAUGUUGUUUUUUUAACGCAUACACGACACAUGUGCGUCCCUUUUGUGCUCCCUCCCUCCUUCCCUCCCUGAACAGGUGGGCUGCUUCGAGUUCUCCACCAUCCUGGCGGCGGCGCUGGGCCCCGCCAUCACCGCCGCCCACGCCGCCAUGUUGAGUCUGGUGGCACUCACCUACCUGGCCUGCCCCUUCGCGCUCGCCACCGCCGGCGCCAUCCGCGUGGGCAACCUGCUGGGCUCGGGUGAGCAGGAGGAGACGGAGGAGGCCCGGGGGGGGGGGUGUUCAUCAGUCUCAGUGUGCGCUUUUAUAUGUGCGCUUAUAUCUGUGCGAAAAAUCGGGUGGUAAAUCACCUUUCACCGUAGUCACACACACACACACACAUACACACACACACACACACACACACACACACACACACACACACACACACACACACACACACACACACACACACACAGCCCACCACACGCACACACGCACACACACACACACGCACGCAACAGGCCAGCCCGAGCCCGCGCGGCGCUCGGGGCUGCUGGCCAUCGCGCUCAGCGGCGGCUUCAUGGCGCUCAUGGCAGUGGGGCUGCUGGCCAGUCGCAGCGUGCUGGGCCGCGCCUUCAGCAGCGACCCCCAGGUGGUGGGCGUCAUCCGCGACCUCACCCUGUUCGCGGCGCUGUUCCAGGUGGGGCGGGGGCCUGGGAAAGAAGAGAUGGGGAAAGUGUGUGCGUGUGUGUAUGUGUGUGUGUGUGUGUUAUAGGGCACAAGGAGUAAUGUGGUGGGUGGGUGGGUGCUCGUUUGGGUUGGGGGUUGCGUGGUUGGGGUGGGGUGGAGGGGGAGUCAUGUGCCCAAACCCAACGAACCAGGGAGGGGAGGCGUGGGGCUGGAGUUGGGGGUUCCGAGGGGGUUUGACACGGUGACAUGAGGUUUGCUUGGGGCGUGUCUGGAAUACAAGAGGUUGCAGGGCUUCGGUUUUGCACGUCUUGCAGGUCCAGCAGGUCACUAGGGUUUCUCACCCCCGGUUUUAGUGGCGCCUGGAGACGGCCGACUAGGGUUUCUAAAACCCGUUCCCAGUUGCCUGUCCCAACUUCCCGCCGCCUAAACCCUGUAACCCACAUGCGCUCCCCGCCACCGCACCCACCCUACACUCCCGCCGCCGCCACCACCACAACCACAACCACCACAACCACCAGCCACCCAUCCCACACUCUCCACACACACACACCCCACACACUCCCACAUACUCCCACACUCCCCCACACUCCCCCACAUUCCCACACUCCGCACCCCCACCCCCACACUUGUUCGCGUGGUCGUGCCGUUUUUUAUGCUUUUACUUUGGCUCUCACUACUACUCGCAUUGCACGUUUGCUUAUAUGUCUGUGCCGCCUGUUUGCCGUUUGAGUCCGCCACGCCUUACUGCCGCUCGCCCAUUUCCUGUGUGUGCUUUCCCCUGCGCGCGCGGCUCUGGCGUGGCUUGCAUUGCUGAGCGCUUAGGUGAGUUCGCGGGGUCCCGGUUUCGCGCCGCAGCAGCUAAGCUAGCCACCUAGACGCAUGCACUCAGCUUCUUUACCAACGAGCCUUACUUAUCACCACUACUACUCCAGACUACUUGCUUUCAAUAGGAACUUAGUAUUUUAGCGUUAGCCGCCACGGAAACACGGGGGAGCCAGCAGCCUGCCGCUGGCGAAACAACGGUAUGGAAUGCGUCGCGUGUGCCCGCUGUACCUCUGGACGUCGGCACUUCACUUCAUAUUUGAUACCCUUGGACCGGGCCUCGCGCUUCAGGCGGACAAUGUCCUUCUCCUGUGGGCAUGUAGAAAAUGGCGAGCCAGAUGUGGUCAGCCCACAGCUGAAUAACCCUGUCCAGCGAUCCUGCCAGUAGAACAUCCCAUGAAUGACCCGAUUAGCGGCAGCUGCGCCUAAACCAGUUCUGUCCGCGACACCCUCCUGGCCGGCCGAAGCAGCCGCCCUUGGCGGCUGCGCUGCAAACUGCAAGGCCUCCAGUGGGUCCGCUCGUCGCCGCUCCUGCCCCAGUGGAUGCUGUUCCACAUAUACAAGAGGGCAUGCCUGCGCCCGCUCCGCUGCCGUUGCCAUGGGCACUGCGCCAUCGCCGAGCACCCCCUUGCGACCGCAACCGAGCUGACCUGAGUGCGGUACUCGGCCACAUACUUCUCCGCGCGCUUGAAGAUGUCCUUGCGAGUGGCGUAACACCAUCCCAUGGAUGGCUACCCCCACACUCCCACACUUCCCACACACACCCCACACCCCCGCGGCGCGCAGGUGAGUAAAAAGCAAGUCGGGUAUAGGAAAGUCCAGCGGCGGUCGCGUUGCACUCGCAUCCGCAUAUGCAUCCGAGCGCUACUGAGCUAUACGUGAUCGUUUUACUGACGUUACUACAAUACGAUCAACCUACUUAGAAUAGUCGUUAGACAAAAUGGGAGAGCAGCAGCAGCAGCCUUCGGCGGGUCUACGCGCUGGAGCUGGCCGCUGGACUUCACGGACAUCGGUAACAACGCGUCUACGCUGCAACUGUACCAGCCUACGACUUCACUUCUUAAUUAAUCAUGAAUGUAACCCCCCACACGCCCCCCCCCCGCCCUGCCCGCCCAGGU
rnacentral:lncRNA from 1 species